rnacentral:misc_RNA from 1 species
UGCUAGCUUAUAAGGCCGCUCAGGUACGUUGUCGUUUUUAGCCUUUCAUUUCUCGCUCGGUUUUUCUUGUUAUUGCAGAUUUGUUUCGAUAAUAUUGAAGAAAGACCUGGAAUCUAGGGUUUUGAAUAAACUUUCAAUUGGAUUAAGAGUCUGUUUGAUCACUUAUUAAACUAAUAAGUUUACCGGUUUUAAUCGUUGUUCAAAUAACGAUUAGCCUUAACCUCGAUUAGCGUACUUAAUCGUAUUUUUGUUACCCAGGAUUCUGAUUCGUCUUAGUAGUGAGUGGGGCAUUUUGAUUUUGAAAUUGAUGAUAUUAUUUCAAUUCAAAGAGUUGAAUUUUGGACUUGAUCAAAGAAAUAAAGAGAAAAAAAAACAUGGUUCAAUGCUGGAAGAUUCUGUGUUGAAAAGUGUUUGAUUCCUUAUUCUGCUGUCCUGCAAUUUAUUUUUGAAGGAUAUAGCACUUGCGGAUCUUG